rnacentral:lncRNA from 1 species
UCCCUUUUUGGCUUUUUCGGUUUUUUUUUGGUACGGCGAUGCAGAUUGUUAUAUGGCUGCAACCUGCAAGUAUGUUCUUUUGUGUGAGGGGGAGUGGUUAGACCGUGGCUGUCUCACUCUUGUGGUGGCGAGAUUGGGAAGCAAGCUAGCAACGGCGAGCCCGGCCCACCCUGGCGGGAGAGAGCUACGUCACUGCCCUUUUUUUUUUGUUUUUUUGCAGAAGAUCUCUCGUGUAUUUGGAACGUAUAUCAUCGCGUCGAGAUUAUGCGGUUGAUUUGUAUAUAUUCCGUACACAUCAUGGUGGAAUGAAUUAGACAGCGACGUGGU